UAGCAAUACGACGGAAAGUUUAGUGGCGAUCGGGUGCGUAACACGUGGGCAAUCUGCCUUAAAGUGUGGAAUAGCUCGGCGAAAGCCGAAUUAAUACCGCAUGUGGCUACUGGAGACAUCUUCGGGACGCUAAAGGUGGCGCAAGCUACCGCUUUUUGAGGAGCCCGCGGCCUAUCAGCUUGUUGGUGAGGUAACGGCUCACCAAGGCGUUGACGGGUAGCUGGUCUGAGAGGACGACCAGCCACACUGGGACUGAGACACGGCCCAGACACCUACGGGUGGCAGCAGUCGAGAAUUUUUGACAAUGGGGGAAACCCUGAUCGAGCGACGCCGCGUGGAGGAUGAAGGUCUUCGGGUUGUAAACUCCUGUCAUUUGGGAACAAGGCGUAUUUAUUAACUGUAAGUGCGUUGAUAGUACCAGAAGAGGAAGAGACGGCUAACUCUGUGCCAGCAGCCGCGGUAAUACAGAGGUCUCAAGCGUUGUUCGGAUUCAUUGGGCGUAAAGGGUGUGUAGGUGGCGCGCUAAGUCGGGUGUGAAAUUUCGGAGCUUAACUCCGAAACUGCAUUCGAUACUGGCGUGCUUGAGGACUGGAGAGGAGACUGGAAUUCACGGUGUAGCA
rnacentral:rRNA from 1 species